rnacentral:rRNA from 1 species
UACGUAGGGGGCAAGCGUUGUCCGGAAUCAUUGGGCGUAAAGAGCGCGUAGGCGGUCCGGUAAGUCCGCUCUGAAAGUCCGGGGCUCAACCCCGGGAGGCGGGCGGAUACUGUCGGGCUAGAGUCCGGAAGAGGCGAGUGGAAUUCCUGGUGUAGCGGUGAAAUGCGCAGAUAUCAGGAGGAACACCGAUGGCGAAGGCGGCUCACUGGCCCGUAACUGACGCUCAUGCACGACAGCGUGGGGAUCAAACAGG